rnacentral:rRNA from 1 species
GAUGAACGCUGGCGGCGUGCUUAACACAUGCAAGUCGAACGGAAAGGCCCUGCUUGCAGGGUACUCGAGUGGCGAACGGGUGAGUAACACGUGGGUGAUCUGCCCUGUACUUUGGGAUAAGCCUGGGAAACUGGAACUAAUACCGAAUAUGACAAUUGUUUGGAUGCGAUCGUGGAAAGCUUUUGCGGUAUGGGAUGAGCUCGCGGCCGAUCAGCUGUUUGGUGGGGUAAUGGCCUACCAAGGCGUCGACGGGUAGCCGGCCUGAGAGUAUGUACGGCCACAUGGGAACUGGGAGACGGGACAGAGUCCUAAGGGAGGCAGCAGUGGGGAAUAUUGGACAUUGGGCGAAAGCCUGAUGCAGCGACGCCGCGUGGGGGAUGACGGCCUUUGGGUUGUAAAAUCCUUACGCAACCGACGAAGCCUUUUGGUGACGGUAGGUUGAGAAGAAGCACCGGCUAACUACGUG